GCCAGACUCCUACGGGAGGCAGCAGUGGGGAAUAUUGCACAAUGGGGGAAACCCUGAUGCAGCGACGCCGCGUGAGUGAAGAAGUAUUUCGGUAUGUAAAGCUCUAUCAGCAGGGAAGAAGUUGACGGUACCUGAGUAAGAAGCCCCGGCUAACUACGUGCCAGCAGCCGCGGUAAUACGUAGGGGGCAAGCGUUAUCCGGAUUUACUGGGUGUAAAGGGAGCGUAGACGGUUGUGCAAGUCAGAAGUGAAAGCCCGGGGCUCAACUCCGGGACUGCUUUUGAAACUGUGAAACUGGAGUGCAGGAGAGGUAAGCGGAAUUCCUGGUGUAGCGGUGAAAUGCGUAGAUAUCAGGAGGAACACCAGUGGCGAAGGCGGCUUACUGGACUGUAACUGACGUUGAGGCUCGAAAGCGUGGGGAGCAAACAGGAUUAGAUACCCUUGUAG
rnacentral:rRNA from 1 species